rnacentral:rRNA from 1 species
CGAAAGCUACGCUAAUACCGCAUACGAUCUAUGGAUGAAAGCGGGGGAUCGCAAGACCUCGCGCGAUUGGAGCGGCCGAUAUCAGAUUAGGGUAGUUGGUGAGGUAAAGGCUCACCAAGCCGACGAUCUGUAGCUGGUCUGAGAGGACGACCAGCCACACUGGGACUGAGACACGGCCCAGACUCCUACGGGAGGCAGCAGUGGGAAUUUUGGACAAUGGGCGCAAGCUGAUCCAGCAAUGCCGCGUGCAGGAUGAAGGCCUUCGGGUUGUAAACUGCUUUUGUACGGAACGAAACGGUGAGCUCUAAUACAGUUUGCUAAUGACGGUACCGUAAGAAUAAGCACCGGCUAACUACGUG